AUGGCUUGGCCACCGCGCUCAGCCCUGCCGCCCCCUUCCUACGCGGCUCCGGUCGAAGCCGUGGCCUGGGACCCCCUGCGGCAGCCCGGGGAUUCGUCCCCCCCACCUUGGCCAAGGCUGUUUGGGCACCGGCCAGUUCUGCUCGUUCAGCGGCAAGAGCAGAGGUGCCGUUGGGGCUCUCCCAGACCCUUCUCCCCGCGUGGGCUGGUGCGUGGGUGGUUUGGGGAAGUUUGGGGCCGGAGCCUGCCUGGAGGCUGGGGCAGCCCUGUGCACCAGGGCAGCGCCGGCGGCAGACGCGGAGCUUUCCAGGAGAUGUCUACUAAGACCUUCCCUUUCCUCCCCCAGGGAGGACGGAGGCCGGCAUCUGCUACAGUCAGGUUUCCUGAUGCAAACCAUGCCCUGGAGCAGCACCCAGCCCUUGCUCCCCACUGGGUGCUGCUCGGGGGGAGGGGGGCGAGCAGGGCCCCCCACUCGUGUCCAGCAGCCAGCGCGCACGGUGAGGCCGUCCUGCACCCACCCAGCCACAGGGGCCCUGCUGGGGGGGGGGGGUCCAGGCAGGAAAGGGGGGACACGGGCUGCAGCAUCCCUCCCCGCACCCGCCACGCUGCGUGCAGAGUGCCACCAAGUGCUGCCUGCGGGUCUUGCAGGGGACACCCAUGCCGGGGACACCCGUGCUGGGGACACCCGCGCCUGCCCACCGCUCCCGGCCAUGCCGCCAGCCCGCAUGCACCCCAUCCAAGGCUGGGCCAUGCGUCUCCCACCCGCAGAGUGCUCUGGCUCUCCUCUCACCGGAGCUGGACCCCCUCCCAGGACACUGCAGCCCCCUGUCAUAGGUGCCCCUGCAGCCUGCCGGCCCGAAGGGCUGCAGCCCAGCCUGGAGCGCUGGCCGCGGUGUCCCCGGCAUGGCCAGCAUCGCCUGCAGGCUGCCUGCACGCCAUGCAUCACUCACCACCCUCCUCCUCCUCCCUGCGCCUCCCUCGCACUCCCCGGGCCGUGCCGUGGCCCCGCUCUGCCUGCCCCGCGCGGGGCUGCAGCCCCAGCCCGGAGGCCGCCUGGCCGGAAGGGUCCCGAGGGCUGGAGGUGCCGGGGGAAGACGCGGCUCCCCUGCGCCCGGCCGGGGCCGAAGCAGACACUCGCCACCCGCUCGGCUUCAUUGGCAGCUUCCUUUUAUUCACCAGACGGAAGGGAUGGAGGGGACGGGAUGGGCAGUGGGACUGGCCCUACCUUGAGACAUGA
rnacentral:lncRNA from 1 species